rnacentral:lncRNA from 1 species
ACGACUACAGACAGCCUUUGUCAUGUGCAGCCUGGUACGGGUAACAGAGGACUAAGGGAGAGAAACACAAAUUGACAGCUCUCUUUAAUGAAGGGGCACCAGGCCGGAUUGUGAGAAACUCAGUUCAUCCACCUGUUUAUCCUGCUACCCCCUACUGCCCCGGAGAUUCACCUGAGCAGUUCCCAGUUGUUUUGAAAGCACCAUAAAUCCAGAGAAUGCCAGACUUUGAUGACAAAAUGUGUCUACGAAGGACAGCCGCGCCACCUUCCUGUUCAAGUGAGCACAGCACAACAGGACGAUCGUGACAGAACUACCCACCAAACACGGACCAAGCAGCGGAGGAGGGAGCAACGGGUGGACUGUCGCGAGUCAUGGACUUGGGAGCAGAUUCUGGCCGUAGAGGGCCCAUGGAGGAAGUCUGGUGAGGACCGGGAACGCUACCGGGGGACAUGGCUGGCGAGGAAGCCGGAGAGGCACCCCCAAGAUUUUUUUUGGGGGGGCACACGGGUAGUUUGGCUGGGCCAAGGGUGAGCCCUAAGCCAGUUACCCGUGCUUAUUGUGAGGAACGUAUGGAGUGGAGGGCGGCGAGGUAUGCAGAAGUGCGCACGAUCUCGCCCAUACGCACGCACAGUCCAGUGCGAGUGAUCCCAGCCCCUCGCAAGUGCCGUGCUAGAGUGGGCAUCCAGCCUGGUAGGAGGAUGCCUGCGCAGUGCAUCUGGUCACCGGUGCGCCUCCUAGGUCCAGGCUACCCUACGCCCACUCUACGCAUGGCAACCAUCAGGCCCCUGCACAGCCCAGUUCGCCCUGUACCAGCAUUCCGCUCGUACAGGGCUACUAGUUCCAUCCAGCCAGGACGGGUUGUGCAGGAGGUGCGGUCAAGACCGCCUGUGCGCCUCCACGGUCCGGUAUAUCCACAGCCAGCAUCACGCACCAGGCCUCCAGUGCGUCAGCCCAGUCCAACUCGGCCAGUUCCUGCUCCCCGCACUAGCCCUGAAGUGCGUGUCCCCAAACUGGCACAUCCAGUACCAGCACCACGCAUCAGGCUUCCAGUGCGUCAGCCUAGUCCCGAG